rnacentral:lncRNA from 1 species
AGUUUAGAAUAAUAUUAAUAUAUUUUUUGUUUGAAUAAUAGUUUAUUUGAUUAAUGUUUUGAUAUCAUGUUUGAUAAUAUAAUAUAAUAUGCAAAUGUGGAUAUGAAUAAAAGCUUGCCGAUGGAUGGUGUUCUCUCUCCUGGUAUAGUGUUGUGACUGUUGUGGAUGAAUGUCGGCAUCAACUGGUGUUUUGUUAUUUUGUACUCAAACGUGUUGUUUAAGGAGACAGCUUUAUGUAAGCAGGAAAAGUCAUUUUAUGUUGGAAAUUUUGGAGUUAUAAAUUUUGUAAGUUUACUGUUUGUUUAUAAUAAAACUUUUGGUUUAUUUGAGUAUGGAGCAUUUGUCCUGGAGUCUGGAGCGGAUUUUUAGAUGGUUAAAAGACCAUGAACUUAACAUUACGAUAAAGUUUAUUCCAAAGCAGAGAGAUGGGAUGGGGGAAGUGCAGGGUCAGGACUCAUGUGGAUGUGGGGGCAUUGCCCGCCCCUUCACAACCUUUGAUAAACAUGUCUGCCGCUUCAUUUAUUACUUCCUAUCAAUAUAAUUUUCUUGCUAUGAAUCUAUACUUAUAAUUGCUCAAAUCCUUGUUCUACUACCCAGGGCAUAUCUCCAAACUUUGGAAGGCUCCUAUGCAAGUCUAUCAUUGAUCAGCUUCUCAUGUUUUGACCUUUUUGAUAUUUUCAGGGACUCCAUCACCAUAGGCCUCACAUGCUUCUCCAGGGGCUUUAUACAUCUAGC